rnacentral:tRNA from 1 species
AAGAGGGAAGCAUAAGUGGUUUAAGUAUGCGGCUGGCUUGAAACCAGCAUGUGAGGGUUCGACUCCUU